AGACCCGAAACCCGGUGAUCUAGCCAUGGGCAGGUUGAAGGUUGGGUAACACUAACUGGAGGACCGAACCGACUAAUGUUGAAAAAUUAGCGGAUGACCUGUGGCUGGGGGUGAAAGGCCAAUCAAACCGGGAGAUAGCUGGUUCUCCCCGAAAGCUAUUUAGGUAGCGCCUCGUGAAUUCAUCUCCGGGGGUAGAGCACUGUUUCGGCUAGGGGGCCAUCCCGGCUUACCAACCCGAUGCAAACUGCGAAUACCGGAGAAUGUUAUCACGGGAGACACACGGCGGGUGCUAACGUCCGUCGUGAAGAGGGAAACAACCCAGACCGCCAGCUAAGGUCCCAAAGUCAUGGUUAAGUGGGAAACGAUGUGGGAAGGCCCAGACAGCCAGGAUGUUGGCUUAGAAGCAGCCAUCAUUUAAAGAAAGCGUAAUAGCUCACUGGUCGAGUCGGCCUGCGCGGAAGAUGUAACGGGGCUAAACCAUGCACCGAAGCUGCGGCAGCGACACUAUGUGUUGUUGGGUAGGGGAGCGUUCUGUAAGCCUGUGAAGGUGUGUCGUGAGGCAUGCUGGAGGUAUCAGAAGUGCGAAUGCUGACAUAAGUAACGAUAAAGCGGGUGAAAAGCCCGCUCGCCGGAAGACCAAGGGUUCCUGUCCAACGUUAAUCGGGGCAGGGUGAGUCGACCCCUAAGGCGAGGCCGAAAGGCGUAGUCGAUGGGAAACGGGUUAAUAUUCCCGUACUUGGUGUUACUGCGAAGGGGGGACGGAGAAGGCUAUGUUGGCCGGGCGACGGUUGUCCCGGUUUAAGCGUGUAGGUGUGUGUUCCAGGUAAAUCCGGUUCACUUUAACACUGAGGCGUGACGACGAGGCACUACGGUGCUGAAGCAACAAAUGCCCUGCUUCCAGGAAAAGCCUCUAAGCAUCAGGUAACAUCAAAUCGUACCCCAAACCGACACAGGUGGUCAGGUAGAGAAUACCAAGGCGCUUGAGAGAACUCGGGUGAAGGAACUAGGCAAAAUGGUGCCGUAACUUCGGGAGAAGGCACGCUGACACGUAGGUGAAGUGAUUUACUCAUGGAGCUGAAGUCAGUCGAAGAUACCAGCUGGCUGCAACUGUUUAUUAAAAACACAGCACUGUGCAAACACGAAAGUGGACGUAUACGGUGUGACGCCUGCCCGGUGCCGGAAGGUUAAUUGAUGGGGUCAGCGCAAGCGAAGCUCCUGAUCGAAGCCCCGGUAAACGGCGGCCGUAACUAUAACGGUCCUAAGGUAGCGAAAUUCCUUGUCGGGUAAGUUCCGACCUGCACGAAUGGCGUAAUGAUGGCCAGGCUGUCUCCACCCGAGACUCAGUGAAAUUGAACUCGCUGUGAAGAUGCAGUGUACCCGCGGCAAGACGGAAAGACCCCGUGAACCUUUACUAUAGCUUGACACUGAACAUUGAGCCUUGAUGUGUAGGAUAGGUGGGAGGCUUUGAAGUGUGGACGCCAGUCUGCGUGGAGCCGACCUUGAAAUACCACCCUUUAAUGUUUGAUGUUCUAACGUGGACCCGUGAUCCGGGUUGCGGACAGUGUCUGGUGGGUAGUUUGACUGGGGCGGUCUCCUCCUAAAGAGUAACGGAGGAGCACGAAGGUUGGCUAAUCCUGGUCGGACAUCAGGAGGUUAGUGCAAUGGCAUAAGCCAGCUUGACUGCGAGCGUGACGGCGCGAGCAGGUGCGAAAGCAGGUCAUAGUGAUCCGGUGGUUCUGAAUGGAAGGGCCAUCGCUCAACGGAUAAAAGGUACUCCGGGGAUAACAGGCUGAUACCGCCCAAGAGUUCAUAUCGACGGCGGUGUUUGGCACCUCGAUGUCGGCUCAUCACAUCCUGGGGCUGAAGUAGGUCCCAAGGGUAUGGCUGUUCGCCAUUUAAAGUGGUACGCGAGCUGGGUUUAGAACGUCGUGAGACAGUUCGGUCCCUAUCUGCCGUGGGCGCUGGAGAACUGAGGGGGGCUGCUCCUAGUACGAGAGGACCGGAGUGGACGCAUCACUGGUGUUCGGGUUGUCAUGCCAAUGGCACUGCCCGGUAGCUAAAUGCGGAAGAGAUAAGUGCUGAAAGCAUCUAAGCACGAAACUUGCCCCGAG
rnacentral:rRNA from 1 species